CGGAGGGUGCAAGCGUUAUCCGGAUUUACUGGGUUUAAAGGGUGUGUAGGCGGACUUUUAAGUCAGGGGGUGAAAUCCCGAGGCUCAACCUCGGAACUGCCUUUGAUACUAUUGGUCUUGAAUGUUGUUGAGGUGGGCGGAACGGGUCAUGUAGCGGUGAAAUGCAUAGAUAUGACCCGGAACACCGAUUGCGAAGGCAGCCCGCUAAGCAACUAUUGACGCUGAGGCACGAAAGCGUGGGGAUCAAACAGGAUUAGAUACCCUGGUAGUCCACGCCCUAAACGAUGAUUACUCGACGUUGGCGAUACACUGAUCAGCGUCCAAGCGAAAGCAUUAAGUAAUCCACCUGGGAAGUACGUUCGCAAGAAUG
rnacentral:rRNA from 1 species